CCACAGGCCGUAAACCCAAGGUUUCCAGGGGAAGGUUCGUCCGCCCUGGGUUAGUCGGGACCUAAGCUGAGGCCGAAAGGCGUAGGGGAUGGACAACAGGUUGAUAUUCCUGUACUACCGAUAACCGGUUGAGAGAAGGGAUGACACAGUAGGAUAAGCUAAGCACACUGUUGGUUAUGUGUGCCCAAGCAUUGAGGCAGUCAAAGUAGGCAAA
rnacentral:rRNA from 1 species